rnacentral:tRNA from 1 species
GCACUGGUAAUUCAGUGAUAGAAUUCUCAUCUUCCAUAAAAGAGACCUGGGUUCGAUUCCCGGUCAAUGUA